AAGUAACGAUAAAGCGGGUGAAAAGCCCGCUCGCCGGAAGACCAAGGGUUCCUGUCCAACGUUAAUCGGGGCAGGGUGAGUCGACCCCUAAGGCGAGGCCGAAAGGCGUAGUCGAUGGGAAACGGGUUAAUAUUCCCGUACUUGGUGUUACUGCGAAGGGGGGACGGAGAAGGCUAUGUUGGCCGGGCGACGGUUGUCCCGGUUUAAGCGUGUAGGUGUGUGUUCCAGGUAAAUCCGGUUCACUUUAACACUGAGGCGUGACGACGAGGCACUACGGUGCUGAAGCAACAAAUGCCCUGCUUCCAGGAAAAGCCUCUAAGCAUCAGGUAACAUCAAAUCGUACCCCAAACCGACACAGGUGGUCAGGUAGAGAAUACCAAGGCGCUUGAGAGAACUCGGGUGAAGGAACUAGGCAAAAUGGUGCCGUAACUUCGGGAGAAGGCACGCUGACACGUAGGUGAAGUGAUUUACUCAUGGAGCUGAAGUCAGUCGAAGAUACCAGCUGGCUGCAACUGUUUAUUAAAAACACAGCACUGUGCAAACACGAAAGUGGACGUAUACGGUGUGACGCCUGCCCGGUGCCGGAAGGUUAAUUGAUGGGGUCAGCGCAAGCGAAGCUCCUGAUCGAAGCCCCGGUAAACGGCGGCCGUAACUAUAACGGUCCUAAGGUAGCGAAAUUCCUUGUCGGGUAAGUUCCGACCUGCACGAAUGGCGUAAUGAUGGCCAGGCUGUCUCCACCCGAGACUCAGUGAAAUUGAACUCGCUGUGAAGAUGCAGUGUACCCGCGGCAAGACGGAAAGACCCCGUGAACCUUUACUAUAGCUUGACACUGAACAUUGAGCCUUGAUGUGUAGGAUAGGUGGGAGGCUUUGAAGUGUGGACGCCAGUCUGCAUGGAGCCGACCUUGAAAUACCACCCUUUAAUGUUUGAUGUUCUAACGUGGACCCGUAAUCCGGGUUGCGGACAGUGUCUGGUGGGUAGUUUGACUGGGGCGGUCUCCUCCUAAAGAGUAACGGAGGAGCACGAAGGUUGGCUAAUCCUGGUCGGACAUCAGGAGGUUAGUGCAAUGGCAUAAGCCAGCUUGACUGCGAGCGUGACGGCGCGAGCAGGUGCGAAAGCAGGUCAUAGUGAUCCGGUGGUUCUGAAUGGAAGGGCCAUCGCUCAACGGAUAAAAGGUACUCCGGGGAUAACAGGCUGAUACCGCCCAAGAGUUCAUAUCGACGGCGGUGUUUGGCACCUCGAUGUCGGCUCAUCACAUCCUGGGGCUGAAGUAGGUCCCAAGGGUAUGGCUGUUCGCCAUUUAAAGUGGUACGCGAGCUGGGUUUAGAACGUCGUGAGACAGUUCGGUCCCUAUCUGCCGUGGGCGCUGGAGAACUGAGGGGGGCUGCUCCUAGUACGAGAGGACCGGAGUGGACGCAUCACUGGUGUUCGGGUUGUCAUGCCAAUGGCACUGCCCGGUAGCUAAAUGCGGAAGAGAUAAGUGCUGAAAGCAUCUAAGCACGAAACUUGCCCCGA
rnacentral:rRNA from 1 species